rnacentral:rRNA from 1 species
AGAUUGAACGCUGGCGGCGUGCCUAACACAUGCAAGUCGAGCGGUAACAGGUGUAGCAAUACAUGCUGACGAGCGGCGAACGGGUGAGUAAUGCUUUGGAAUCUUCCCAGUAGUGGGGAAUAACCAGUCGAAAGAUUGGCUAAUACCGCAUACGUCUGUAAAGGGAAAGCGGGGGCUCGUAAGACCUCGCGCUAUUGGAUGAGCCAAAGUCGGAUUAGCUAGUUGGUGGGGUAAUGGCCUACCAAGGCGACAAUCCGUAGCUGGUCUGAGAGGACGACCAGCCACACCGGAACUGAGACACGGUCCGGACUCCUACGGGAGGCAGCAGUGGGGAAUAUUGGACAAUGGGGGAAACCCUGAUCCAGCGACGCCGCGUGUGUGAAGAAGGCCUGCGGGUUGUAAAGCACUUUUAGUGGGACAAAAAGCUACGGAUUAAUACUCUGUGGUCUUGAUUUAACCAAGAAAAGCACCGGCUAACUCUGCGCCAGCAGCCGCGGUAA